UUCCCUUUUCUUCCCUCUCCCUCUCUCUCUCGUUUCUCUUUCCCCACGAUAUCCAAACCUCGCCUCUCUCGAGUAAACGAAAACCCUAACUCAGUCACAACUAUAACCACCUUUACUUCCAGAACGAACACAGAAGAAUCCCCGAUCUUCUUCUUCUCAUAUAUGGAUGUUUUUGGUAACAAAAUCGACUUCAUCUGAAAUCGCUCAUCUCUUGUGUAAAAAAAUCACUCUUCUCUUUGUCUAAGCUAUCGACUUCAUCUGAAAUCGGCCAAGGGUUUGCUCAAGUCACUGUGUUUUCAUUACUCUUUCUCUAGCAGAUGAAGAUUGAUGAACAAGAUAAAGGAUGCUGGAACUUCUAAAAGAGAACAUGCAGUCAUGGAGAAGAUUAAAGAAGCACACAGGAGAGUGAUAGUGGCUAACCAUCCUCACAAGGGUGGGAGCAUGUAUCUUGCUAAAAAGAUCAACGAGGCUGAGGUACUUUUGAUGGAUGAGGGUCGAUUUCAAUUCUUUCCAUGUGAAGAUCUAGUAAUGGCUUGUCUGAAGAAAUUUCUUUUAAGAUUCUGAAACAGGUGUGGGUUUCUUUUUCUGAAUUCUGUGAUUUUAGUCAGCAUUUUGUGAUUUUAGUGAGUUGCAACUUGUUGCGGCAGGGUUGGAUGUCUAUAGCACAAGUCUUCUACAUCUAUCCAGUUAUUAUCUUAUCUUGAUUACUAAAUGUACCAUGUUUCAGGAAGUUAUAUCCAGAAAUGUAUUGGUUGAUGAGUGUUCAAGGCAGGUUGUCGAGGUGGAGCAAGCAGCCAUGUGGAAGUUUCUUUGGUGGUCGGGAAUCAUCGCUGUCCAUGUUAUGGUUGGCCAAAACAUAGAUGAUCACUCGAAACUUUUCUCCAGCACUUCCUCCUCAAGCCUUUGUCUUUUAUUUCCUUCUUGGUUUGCGGGAUGAGUUCAGCUUGUUGAUGUACUUUAUGCUGAGUGUUUGCAUUUGUCUCUUUGUGAAGGAAGGACUCAUGCUGGUUGUUGCAACAAUCUGACAAGAUAUAUGUUGGAGCAUUUUGACAGUGAUUCAGUGAUUCGAAUCACAGUUUGAUUCUUCACAAGACUAAACUUUGUGCUCCUGCACUUGCUCCAUUCAAGGCUUAUUACGAAGGUGAUGGUUUUCUUGAUGUGUUUGAUUUGUCAUUGUUGUCUCAUGUCAGGGUUCGUAAUCUUAUUAGUACCUUAAAGUUUGUAUAGCGUCAGUAGUCUGUUCGGUCUGAACUAACCCAAGAACAUCACCCUAAUAGUAUUGCUCAGCAAAGAACUCUUCUCCCGCUAACCAGAAUCCAUCUCAUUUAUUUUGAUGCUUCUUAUAUAGAAUCUAAUCGUACUAUUAGAAUUGGUAUCAUUCUUCUUGAUAAUGCAGGAAACUUUUGGGGUGCCAAAACAAUCCCAAGCACAACAUGAGAUGCUUAACAUGCUGAAGCCAAGGCUCUUCUUGUAGCCACACUAUGGGUUAACGAGCUGGAACUGCAGUUUACUUCAAAGGGGACUGAAUCAUUCUGAAGAUGUAUGCUAUGCUAUCUAGUGUUCAAAUCACCAUAGUUAACUAUUGUUGUUAUAGUGGUCUCUGUCAAGUUUUCUAGAUUUCUUGUGUAGUUAGUGUCAGUAUUAUUCGAAAAAAAUAUUGUCUUUAGGUUUCUGUUAGUAUUAUUUUGUAACAUUGGAUAAGGUCUUAUUUGGAAUAAAAUUUCUGUUAAUUCUGGGUGAAUAAAUUUGCCUUUUUAUUAAAAAUA